CGCUGAGCUGGCGGGCGGGCAGCCCAUCUGGCGGCCCCCGCGGGGCGGCGCGGGGAGGCGGCCCAGACUUGCUGGAGCCAGGCGCCGGCCCGGGGGCCCCCCUGCCCGCCUGGAGAACCCAGUCUUGCCCGUGUUUGGGGUGACUCAGCUUCCCUGCUUGUGCAAGAACAGCUGAACUCUGACCUCCUGAAUGGCCGACUCUUGCCUUGCUCCUCAGGGACCCCAGACACGAUCGUAGGAACCGGAGAUUUUAUGGAAAGAAGCUGAUAUUAUUUGGAGAAUGAAAAAAGAAAGAUGCACCUAGACAAAGGCACAUCAGGCCACUGUGCAGAAGAACAAGCAUGCUCUAGAAGUGUAUGUGCUGCUGUGGAAACACCUCUAAGAAAUACCGUAGAAACCCAAUGUGCAGAAUGCUCCAAGAAUGCCACCGUCUGUGCAAGAAAAAGUAUACACACAUCAGUGCACAGGUGUCUGAAUGUCUGUGUAACACUGCUGGCCUCUGUGGGGUAGCUGGAGCAUGAGGGUGCUCUCUCUGUUACAGCUUUGGAAUUUUUAACUAUGUGAAUGUGGUACCAAUAUAAAAAUAAGUAAAUCAAUAAAAAAAGGAGG
rnacentral:lncRNA from 1 species